AGUGAACGCUGGCGGUAGGCCUAACACAUGCAAGUCGAACGGCAGCGCAGUAAGAGCUUGCUCGUACGGGUGGCGAGUGGCGUACGGGUGAGGAAUACAACGGAAUCUACUUUUUCGUGGGGGAUAACGUAGGGCAACUUACGCUAAUACCGCAUACCACCUACGGGUGCAAGCAGGGGAUCUUCCGACCUUGCCCGAUUGAAUGAGCCGAUGUCGGAUUAGCUAUUUGGCGGGGUAAAGGCCCACCAAGGCGACGAUCCGUAGCUGGUGUGAGAAGAUGUUCAGCCACAGGGGGACUGAGUGGAGGUGGAGACGCGUACGGGAGGGAGCGGUGCGGAAUAUAGGACAAUGUGCACAAGCCUGAUCCAGCCAUACCGCGUGGGUGAAGCAGGCCUUCGGGUUGUAAAGCCGUUUUGUUGGGAAAGAAAAGCAGCAGCUUAACACCCCGCUAUACGGACGGUACCCGGAGUAAAGGCACCGGCUAACUUCGUG
rnacentral:rRNA from 1 species